AUGAGUCACAAAAUAAAGGAGGGGAAGAAGGAAAGAAAGAAAGAAAGAAAGAAAGAAAGAAAGAAAGAAAGAAAGAAAGAAAGAGGGGAGAGAAGAAAAAGAGAGGGGGAGAGAGGGGAGGAGAGAUGAAAAUGAGAGGGGGGAGAGAGGGGAGUAGAGAAGAAAAAGAGGAGGGGAGAGAGGGGAGUAGAGAAGAAAAAAAUGGAUGGACUUGUACUAACCCAACUGUGGACCCCUCUUUCAGAGGAGUCAAAUAUCCACCAGUCAAAUGUCAUCCUCCUCCUCUCCCUCUAUCCCAUUCUUCCUCCUCCAAGCCUUUCUCUUCUCCUCCCAUACUCUGUAAUACUCUACCAACUGCACAUUCCUACACAUGUUUUAUUGGAGAGUGGAGCCUACUUUAAUAUAUCACUGUUUGUGCCAACAGUAGGCUACUGAAGACAUUUGUGUGUGUGUGUGUGUGUGUGUGUGUGUGUGUGUGUGUGUGUGUGUGUGUGUGUGUGUGUGUGUGUGUGUGUGUGUCUGUGUGUGUGUGUGUGUGUGUGUGUGUGUCUGCAUUUAGGGCUAGAAUCUGUAACCGGAUUGAGCGUUACAGUAUAUAGUAAGUACUAAGCCAUCACGGUCUUGGUUUAAGUCAUCUAUUUCUCUUCUCCAACUCCAUUUCUGUCUCUCUCUUUCUUUCUCUCUCCCUCUUCUUUCUUUCUAUCGUGGUACUUGUUUUUCGUGAACAAUAUAGAGGUACAGCAGAGACUAAUAAUAGUAGGAAUAGUGAUGACCAUUACUGUAAUAACCAUAGUAUAAGACCACAGUAUACAGUAUUACCGUAAUAACCGUAAUAAGCACAGUAUAUGACAGUAGUAACCAUAGUAUACAGUACUACCGUAAUAACCGUAAUAAGCACAGUAUAAGACAGUAGUAACCAUAGUAUACAGUACUACCGUAAUAACCGUAAUAAGCAGAGCAUAUGAUAGUAGUAACCAUGGUAUACAGUAUUACCGUAAUAACCACAGUUUAUGACACUUGUAACCAUAGUAUACAGUAUUACUGUAAUAACCACAGUAUAUUACAGUAGUAACCAUAGUAUACAGUAUUACCGUAAUAACCGUAAUAAGCACAGUAUAUGACAAUUGUAACCAUAGUAUACAGUAUCACCAUAAUAACCACAGUACUUCAGAAAGAGUAAAAACUCUGCAUACCUCUAAGGGAGUGUAAUACCAAGGUAGCUGAAAACCAUAGAAUUAGAAUGAGCAGAAGGUGCAUAGAACCUCGGACAAUGACAAUUUGACAUUAUGGCCUCAUUGACUUGAAUAGGGAAUCCCCAUUCUAGUCAUUCUAUUUCUGUGCUGAAAACACAGAGGCUCCAGUAUACAAGGCAAACCAACACUGAGUUUCUUCGUAGUUGUUUUUAAUAUAGUUCCAUUCACUAAAUAUUUUAAACAAGUGUCACUUGACUAUGGAUUAAUAAUGUUAUAAUUGACUUUUUUUCUUUUUUUUGUUCUUCUUCUUACGUCUUUAUAAAGUUGUUGUUUGGUUUUUCCUGAAGGAACGACGUAAGAAAAA
rnacentral:lncRNA from 1 species